GUGCUUGUUUCGUCAGCACAUAUACUAAAAUUGGAACGAUAUAGAGAAGAUUAGCAUGGCCCCUGCACAAGGAUGACAUGCAAAUUGAUGAAACAAAUUUUGU